GCGUCGGGGGCCAGCCUGGCGGGACAUUUGGGGUCCCCCAUACGUGGACCUAUGCCUGUUGUAAGAUGUUUGGAAGAGCGUCGAAAGAUGAGAUCAUGUUGUGUCCUUGGAAGCUGAAUGAAGAACCGGCUUGCAAAGGAGAAGCGCGUGCAGUCCCGGCGCGGCCCGCUCUGCUCAGUUCUCCAGGGCGGGCCUUGGCCUGGACUGCGUGUCGGGAGGACUCGCGGGCCCCGCAUUGCCGCAUGCCACCGGCAGGUGUCUCUUUCCUGGCUUGGGAACCUAUUAACUGUCCGGUCAUUCAUGAGGAUGAGUGUCCCCAGAUGUGCCUGUCUCAGGGCACCCUCUCCUGGGCACACCUGAUUGGAUCAAGCUGUGCACCUGACCCAGGCUGGGACAACCAAAUUCCCUCUCCCAGGAAUCUGGUAUUGGACUGAGGACAGCCACUCACCUUUGGCUAAUCUCUUUAGGAGAGAAGAUGUAGAUGUGAUAGUUGUUGAGGGAUUAUCCUCUGCCCAGCUACUCACAGAGAAGAAAGUGGAUUGCAGAGGGAGACACGAAGCAGAGAAGAAAGCUGGAGAAGGUGGACUGUCUAGGUUCCUAGCAGCUUCUCGGGCUACCUUGAGGCCAUCUGCCCUUGGACUUCAUGAGAUACUGCUAUACUCUUCUAUGUCCCUUAAUGCUUACGUCAGCUCAAGUUGAUUACUUCCAACCAAAAGGACUUAACUCAGACAAGGACAAAGCCAAGACCAUCAGUGAGGUUUUUUUCUUUAUAACCAGGUCCCUUACAGCAUCCUGGGGAGCACUGUAGGUCCUAAAUACACAUUAUUCACAUUAUUCACUCUCCAAAGGCUUCCAUUAGGCAAAAACAUCUUCUCAUCCAAGGCCAACUAGAUUAGGAAAUGGCAUUUCUUAUGGCUUUCCAUCCCCAGAGGGCAAAUGCACAGAUGACUGCAGUUAGCAAUUGACUCUGUGGGUUAGUAUUUGCUGAGGGCACACACCCUGAGACUUGAAUGACAGAAAUCCCCAGGUGCCAAGGAGGAGACUGGCAAUUAUGCCUCCAAUCACCUCCCUGUUCUGCCGCCCUCUAAAUCAGCACUCCCCACCGCGGUGACCCUCAAUGACUGGCAAGACGACCCAUUUUUAAAGGGCCAAUUUUUAACAGCUGGAAACAAUAAACGUCGUGGGAGGUGAAGAUGCUGGGAGGACUGAUUUCUCCUUCGCUGUUUUCAAAAGUCAAAAGAUGCUGGGUGUAAUGGCAACAGCCACAGAAAGUUAGCACAACUCCUGCCACGGAGCAGCUGUGUGAUGGUGGCUUCCCCAGUCCCCCUCCCUGGGCCUCGGUUCUUACAGCUGCAAAAUGAGGAGGUAGAAUGAGAUGCUCUUUAAUAUCCCUUUCAUCUUCAACUUUCUACAAUUCUUGUAAGCUGGAAAGAUGUACACAGAACUUCAUCUUGAUUUUAUUACUUGUAGUCCAUCUUCUUGUGACAGAGCCAGCGGCAGCUUGUGCAUGUGAAAGUAAGUUGUUCACUCUCUCUCUGAGAUGAUUUAAGAGGUUGUGAAAACCCAAAGUACCUCCUUCAGUGUUCUGCCAUAGCCAGGCCUGAAGCUCCCCUGCCCCAGAGCCAGACCUGGGAUCCAGGUAUCAUUUAUCUACGUCAAAAGGCAAACAUGUACAUUGUACAUUGUUUUCCCAGAGCAUAUUAGCCUGGACUUGCCUCUGGAGUCCCUAGGAAUGAUACUAGGCCUGGGAUCCAGCAGAGGCCAGGAAAGGUCUCAGGCACAGGGUACUGUGGUGGCAGACAGGCCUGGGCAGUAAGUAGUGUGUGCAGGGUAGCCCGUGAGUGGCAAGAAGCUCCAAAGUGGGGGACAGCCCUGAGCCAACUGCGUGCAGUAGGGAACAGGGCUGUCAGCUCCAGCACUGCACUUUUGCUUCAUUUUGCUCACCAGAUCCUCUUGCUCCUCUUCAGGGUGCCCAGCAGGAAGGGUCUCUAACUAUCUUCCAGGGCCCACUCCACAAUAUAAGGAAAG
rnacentral:lncRNA from 1 species